UACGAGUGCCCCAAGCGUUAUCCGGAAUUAUUGGGCGUAAAGGGUGCGUAGGUGGUCAUAUUAGUCUUCUGUUAAAGCUCUCGGCUCAACCGGGAAUAUGCAGAGGAAACGGUACGACUAGAGGACGUAAGAGGUAUGCGGAACUCAUGGUGUAGGGGUGAAAUCCGUUGAUAUCAUGGGGAACACCAAAAGCGAAGGCAGCAUACUGGUGCGUUCCUGACACUGAGACACGAAAGCGUGGGUAGCGAAUGGG
rnacentral:rRNA from 1 species